rnacentral:rRNA from 1 species
UGGGGAUUAUUGCACAAUGGGGGAAACCCUGAUGCAGCGACGCCGCGUGAACGAAGAAGGUAUUCGUAUCGUAAAGUUCUGUCCUAUGGGAAGAUAAUGACAGUACCAUAGAAGAAAGCUCCGGCUAAAUACGUGCCAGCAGCCGCGGUAAUACGUAUGGAGCGAGCGUUGUCCGGAAUUAUUGGGCGUAAAGGGUACGCAGGCGGUUUAAUAAGUCGAAUGUUAAAGAUCGGGGCUCAACCCCGUAAAGCAUUGGAAACUGAUAAACUUGAGUAGUGGAGAGGAAAGUGGAAUUCCUAGUGUAGUGGUGAAAUACGUAGAUAUUAGGAGGAAUACCAGUAGCGAAGGCGACUUUCUGGACACAAACUGACGCUGAGGUACGAAAGCGUGGGGAGCAAACAGG